UUGCAGGCUGCAACUCGCCUGCAUGAAGUUGGAAUUGCUAGUAAUCGCGAAUCAGAAUGUCGCGGUGAAUACGUUCCCGGGCCUUGUACACACCGCCCGUCACACCAUGAGAGUCGAUAACACCCGAAGCCUGUGAGCUAACCGCAAGGAGGCAGCAGUCGAAGGUGGGGGUUGAUGAUUGGGGUGAAGUCGUAACAAGGUAGC
rnacentral:rRNA from 1 species